rnacentral:rRNA from 1 species
UACGAAGGGGGCUAGCGUUGUUCGGAAUUACUGGGCGUAAAGCGCGCGCAGGCGGCUAUCCAAGUCAGUGGUGAAAGCCCGGAGCUCAACUCCGGAACUGCCAUUGAAACUGUUUAGCUUGAGGACGAGAGAGGUGAGUGGAAUUCCCAGUGUAGAGGUGAAAUUCGUAGAUAUUGGGAAGAACACCGGUGGCGAAGGCGGCUCACUGGCUCGUUUCUGACGCUCAGGCGCGACAGCGUGGGGAGCAAACAGG